UAACGCGAAGAACCUUACCAGGUCUUGACAUUUUCUGCUAACCUAAGAGAUUAGGCGUUCCCUUCGGGGACGGAAUGACAGGUGGUGCAUGGUUGUCGUCAGCUCGUGUCGUGAGAUGUUGGGUUAAGUCCCGCAACGAGCGCAACCCUUAUUGUCAGUUGCCAGCAUUUAGUUGGGCACUCUGGCGAGACUGCCGGUGACAAACCGGAGGAAGGUGGGGAUGACGUCAAAUCAUCAUGCCCCUUAUGACCUGGGCUACACACGUGCUACAAUGGGUGGUACAACGAGCAGCGAGACCGCGAGGUCAAGCGAAUCUCUAAAAACCAUCCUCAGUUCGGAUUGCAGGCUGCAACUCGCCUGCAUGAAGCUGGAAUCGCUAGUAAUCGCGGAUCAGC
rnacentral:rRNA from 1 species